CCCGAAGCCGAUUCUCGGACUCGACAGUUUGCUGCCAUGGCCUUCCUAGCUUUGAGGAGUCUGCCUACAUUCAGAAGACAAUGCGACAUCCUGAGGAAGCCUUGGAGAGAGAUUGCUGCUAGCUGAAGGAGGCAAAUGGAAGCCCUGGCCAUAAGGCUGUUAUUGCGGGCUUUAAAAGAGAAGGCACCUGAUGGAGGUGAGUGCCUUAGAGCCCACUUGCUUGUGCUUUUCUUUUUCUUUUUCUUUUCUAUGGUACCAGAAUUCCAUGCUGAC
rnacentral:lncRNA from 1 species